AUUCUGUGUUACCUGUCCUCGGUCCACUUGGAAUCUCUUGAGAGAGCCGAGUCCUGUGUGUUCCUAGGCCCUGCCACAGGGACCUGGACGCCCUGCCUGUUGAGGCAAGGUUGUGGAUGUCCCGGGCCUUAUGGUCCCUGCUUCGCAUGAUGUGGGGCAGCAUCCAUCUGAACGCUCAUCACUACCAAGGCCAAGGUUUUGGAAGGAAGUCCUUCUUCUCCCAUCUUAGUAGUAGACCAUCGGAUUUGGGACACGGGCCUAAGGCCGCUGACUCUGCAUCCCUUACAAGCAUACACAGCUGCCUGCCCUUUUGCCUUGUGUCCAUCCUGGAGCGGCCUUCUGUAAGAUUCUAUGUUACCUGUCCUCGGUCCACUUGGAAUCUCUUGAGAGAGCCGAGUCCUGUGUGUUCCUAGGCCCUGCCACAGGGACCUGGACGCCCUGCCUGUUGAGGCAAGGUUGUGGAUGUCCCGGGCCUUAUGGUCCCUGCUUCGCAUGAUGUGGGGCAGCAUCCAUCUGAACGCUCAUCACUACCAAGGCCAAGGUUUUGGAAGGAAGUCCUUCUUCUCCCAUCUUAGUAUUAGACCAUCGGAUUUGGGACACGGGACUAAGGCCGCUGACUCUGCAUCCCUUACAAGCAUACACAGCUGCCUGCCCUUUUGCCUUGUGUCCAUCCUGGAGAGUCCUUCUGCAAGAAGAACCGGGUACAGCCUUGGAGGCCCCUCUUGCCGGGCCACCUUGACCUGGAAGCUUGGGUCAGCAGACCCAAGGCCAUGCUGGAAGCUGUACUGGUCACCCUGGUGGGUGGAGUCAUGUAGA